CAGCCGUAAACUAUGCGCGUUAGGUGUAUCGGUGACCACGAGUCACCGAGGUGCCGAAGGGAAACCGUGAAACGUGCCGCCUGGGAAGUACGGUCGCAAGGCUGAAACUUAAAGGAAUUGGGCGGGGGAGCACCACAACGGGUGGAGCCUGCGGUUUAAUUGGACUCAACGCCGGACAACUCACCGGGGACGACAGCAAUAUGUAGGCCAGGCUGAAGACCUUGCCUGAAUCGCUGAGAGGAGGUGCAUGGCGUAGACGUCU
rnacentral:rRNA from 1 species